UACAGAGGGGGCAAGCGUUGUUCGGAAUUACUGGGCGUAAAGGGCGCGUAGGCGGCCUGCUAAGUCGAACGUGAAAUCCCUGGGCUCAACCCAGGAACUGCGUCCGAUACUGGUUGGCUUGAAUCCGGGAGAGGGACGUGGAAUUCCAGGUGUAGCGGUGAAAUGCGUAGAUAUUGGGAAGAACACCGGUGGCGAAGGCGGCGCUCUGGACCGAGACUGACGCUGAGGCGCGAAAGCGUGGGGAGCAAACAGG
rnacentral:rRNA from 1 species